AGAGUUUGAUCCUGGCUCAGAUUGAACGCUGGCGGCAUGCUUUACACAUGCAAGUCGAGCGGUAACAUGAAGAAGCUUGCUUCUUUGAUGACGAGUGGCGAACGGGUGAGUAAUGUAUCGGAACGUGCCCAGUAGUGGGGGAUAACUACUCGAAAGAGUGGCUAAUACCGCAUGAGAUCUCUGGAUGAAAGUGGGGGACCGCAAGGCCUCACGCUACUGGAGCGGCCGAUAUCAGAUUAGGUAGUUGGUGGGGUAAAGGCCUACCAAGCCUGCGAUCUGUAGCUGGUCUGAGAGGACGACCAGCCACACUGGGACUGAGACACGGCCCAGACUCCUACGGGAGGCAGCAGUGGGGAAUUUUGGACAAUGGGCGCAAGCCUGAUCCAGCAAUGCCGCGUGCAGGACGAAGGCCUUCGGGUUGUAAACUGCUUUUGUACAGAACGAAAAGGCUCUGGCUAAUACCCGGGGCUCAUGACGGUACUGUAAGAAUAAGCACCGGCUAACUACGUGCCAGCAGCCGCGGUAAUACGUAGGGUGCAAGCGUUAAUCGGAAUUACUGGGCGUAAAGCGUGCGCAGGCGGUUUUGUAAGACAGAGGUGAAAUCCCCGGGCUCAACCUGGGAACUGCCUUUGUGACUGCAAGGCUGGAGUACGGCAGANGGGGAUGGAAUUCCGCGUGUAGCAGUGAAAUGCGUAGAUAUGCGGAGGAACACCGAUGGCGAAGGCAGUCCCCUGGGCCUGUACUGACGCUCAUGCACGAAAGCGUGGGGAGCAAACAGGAUUAGAUACCCUG
rnacentral:rRNA from 1 species